GAAAAUCUACUUAAAGUGCAGUAAAAACAAAGAUAGCAUUACCUAAUCAUCAUGAAGCACAAACUCAAGACUCUUGCUGGUACAAACAUGGAAGACAUUUUAUUUUACUUCGCAGGUGAUGAAGAAAAAUAUGCUCUGAUGGCUAACAAUGAAGAUCUGGACGAAGCAUUGGUUGUGAAUGGGGCCUUUUAUAGGCUUAAAGAAUUAAUGUCAUGGCUGCUCUUGAAAAAUUUUCAAGAUCAUCCACAUUAUUGGAAUUCCAAGCUUGAAUUAAAUGUUGUUGCUUUAUUUAAA